AUUGAACGCUGGCGGCAGGCCUAACACAUGCAAGUCGAGCGAGCGGCGGACGGGUGAGUAAUGUCUGGGAAACUGCCUGAUGGAGGGGGAUAACUACUGGAAACGGUAGCUAAUACCGCAUACCAUCAGAUGUGCCCAGAUGGGAUUAGAUAGUAGGUGGGGUACCGGCUCACCUAGGCGACGAUCCCUAGCUGGUCUGAGAGGAUGACCAGUCACACUGGAACUGAGCCACGGUCCAGACCCCUACGGGAGGCAGCAGGGGGGAAUAGUGCACAAUGGGCGCAAGCCUGAUGCAGCCAUGCCGCGUGUGUGAAGACGGCCUUCGGGUUGUAAAGCACUUUCAGCGGGGAGGCGUUACCCGCAGAAGAAGCACCGGCUAACUCCGUGCCAGCAGCCGCGGUAAUAC
rnacentral:rRNA from 1 species